GAAAUGCGAUACGUAAUGUGAAUUGCAGAAUACCGUGAAUCAUCAAAACCUUGAACGCAAAUUGCACUCCUGGGACAUCCCUCGAGUACACCUGUCUGAGUGCCAUUUCCAAUCACCUCACCAUACAACCUGGUGGAUGUUGAGCAUUGAUGGGCAAGUCCCACCAUCGCUUCAAGUGGAGGGGUCGUUGCGGGAUGGCAAGCACACCCAGACUGAUUGUUGAUUGCCCCUGGGCAUCCUCAUGAUUGGUCGAAGGUGAAGGCUUCCAACCCGUCAGACCUUUGAAAGGAAGGGCCCUGGCCCAAUUCAAAACUUUGACCUCAGAUCAGAUGAGAACACCCGCUGAACUUAA
rnacentral:misc_RNA from 1 species